AACGAAAUUGUCAUUCGUCAUUGUGCCUCCUUUAUCAUGUACUUCUAAACUGUUAAACUAAACUCAGUUUUGUCUGACGAAACUAAACGAUAUAAUGACAAAAGAUAUCUCCUAUGAAAUGUAAUGAUCAAAGUUCAUUUGGUGAUAUAUCAAAUAAGGGGAUAAUAUACAAAAGUAAAUGCACAAUGUCAAAAGUUUUAAGCAUCUAUUUCUUAUUAUCACAUCGAAGAACAUUACAAUCUUUCUGAAAGGUACACAUUGAUUUUAUCAAUUUUAUCAGCAUAGUUCGUAUCAACAACAUCAGGUUGUAAAAUAUUAAUUGAUAAUAAAAAAAAAAAAAAAAAAAUAAAAAUAAUAUUUAUAAUAAGAUAUAAUUUAAAUGUACCGGUAUGCAAUAAUAAAUAAUUUUAUUACAUUUUUAGGAAAUCUUUGAAACGAAACUACAUUAUUUAUACAACAAAACAAAAGAUAACAUUUUACCAAAAAUAUCAUCUACUUAAAUAUUAAAACAAAAAAAAAAAAAAAAAAAUAAAAAGCCAUAAGCAAGUACUGUAAGAUA